rnacentral:misc_RNA from 1 species
CGCACAUUGCGCCCUCCGGUACUCCGGGGGGCAUGCCUGCUCGAGCGUCAUUGCAACCCUCAAGCCCAGCUUGGUAUUGGGCUUUCGUCGCACGACGUGCCCGAAAAAGAUUGACGGUUCGGUGGGGACCUUGGGGCGUAGUAAAUGUCUUCCCGCUCUGAAGGUUUCAUGCUGGGGCUGGCCGGAAUCUUUGAUUUCACCAAAAGAUUGACCUCGGAUCAGGUAGGGAUACCCGCUGAACUUAA